rnacentral:rRNA from 1 species
GACGAACCGUGCGAACGUUUGUUCGGAAUCACGUGGGCUUAAAGGGCGCGUAGGCGGGCUGACAAGUCUGGGGUGAAAUGCCGCGGCUCAACCGUGGAACUCGCCUUAGAUACUGUCGGCCUCGAGGGAGGUUGAGGGGCAUGACGGAACUGUAGGUGGAGCGGUGAAAAUGCGUUGAUAUCUACAGGAACUCCGGUGGCGAAAGCGGCGUGCUGGACCUCUUCUGACGCUGAGGCGCGAAAGCUAGGGGGAGCAAACGGG